GCCGAAAUAGCUCAGAUGGGAGAGCGUCAGACUGAAGAUCUGAAGGUCCCUGGUUCAAUCCCGGGUUUCGGAA
rnacentral:tRNA from 1 species